rnacentral:rRNA from 1 species
CGCUGGCGGCGUGCCUAAUACAUGCAAGUCGAACGGUCUUUCUAUGGAAGCUUGCUUCCACUGAGAAGAUAGUGGCGAACGGGUGAGUAACACGUGGGUAACCUGCCCAUAAGAGGGGGAUAACAUCCGGAAACGGGUGCUAAUACCGCAUAGUUUUCUUGAUUGCAUGAUUGAGAAAGGAAAGACGGCCUUUGUGCUGUCGCUUAUGGAUGGACCCGCGGCGUAUUAGUUAGUUGGUGAGGUAACGGCUCACCAAGACGAUGAUACGUAGCCGACCUGAGAGGGUGAUCGGCCACAUUGGGACUGAGACACGGCCCAAACUCCUACGGGAGGCAGCAGUAGGGAAUCUUCCGCAAUGGACGAAAGUCUGACGGAGCAACGCCGCGUGAGUGAAGAAAGGUUUUCGGAUCGUAAAACUCUGUUGUCAGAGAAGAACAAGUUGGAGAGUAACUGCUCCAGCCUUGACGGUAUCUGACCAGAAAGCCACGGCUAACUACGUGCCAGCCGCCGC